GGAACAAGCAUUCUCCCAUGGAGCCAGUCGCCUUGAAUUCUGCUCUCUGGGGAGGACAGAGGCCUGGCACAAGCCAUGAUCACACAGCCGAAACUCCUUCACAACAAGCAGCUGCUCAGGUCGGCUACUUGCUUGGCAUCUGACUACACAGAAUGUGAUGUCUUAGAACCUUCCCUUCUAGUCUAAAAAGGCUGGAAGCAUCUUUGCAGAAGGGACUCAGCAGCCUGCAGUUUCCAAUGACAAAGAAGAGUAGGAGGAAAUUGGGACAGCUUCCAGGGGAGGAGGAUGGAAUCAAGAAAAAUGAAGUACCAAAUGACUUUUCUGAGGAAUGGCCUUGAGACGGCAGAGAAAAUGAUAGCAGUGGACAGUCCCCAGUGCCUCCCCUGUGCUAGGCACUCUGCAAAGUCGUUUUCCAACAUUCCUCUCCUCUACAUACGAACCAGCCAGUCAUCCCACAAGCCUGUUUCUACUACACUCCAUCCCCAAAGGCCCACAAAAUACUCACUUCUCUUCUUCCACGACAUGUUCCAGGCGGGGAACCAUGAGUUCAGGAGUCAGGGGACCGAACCGAAACCUCGUGCAGCGGGACUGCAAGGCAGGGAUGAUCUUUGACAGAUAGUUACAGAUGAGGCAGAAUCUGGUAUUUUCUGUGAAUUUCUCAAUUACUAGUAAGAGAAAAUAAAACCACUUCAUGUCAAA
rnacentral:antisense_RNA from 1 species